rnacentral:rRNA from 1 species
UACGGAGGGGGCUAGCGUUGUUCGGAAUUACUGGGCGUAAAGCGCACGUAGGCGGCUUUGUAAGUUAGAGGUGAAAGCCCGGAGCUCAACUUCGGAACUGCCUUUGAUACAGCACGUCUUGAGUCCGGAAGAGGAGAAUGGAAUUCCCGGUGUAGCGGAUGAAUGCGCAGAUAUCAGGAGGAACACCGGUGGCGAAGGCGGGUCUCUGGGCCGAUACUGACGCUGAGGAGCGAAAGCGUGGGGAGCGAACAGG